rnacentral:rRNA from 1 species
GUGCCAGCCGCCGCGGUAAUACGUAGGCAGCGAGCGUUGUUCGGAGUUACUGGGCGUAAAGAGUGCGUAGGCUGUGGUCCAAGUCUGGUGUGAAAUCUCCCGGCUCAACCGGGAGGGUGCGCCGGAAACUGGGCUGCUUGAGUACUGGAGAGGCAAGCGGAAUUCCUGGUGUAGCGGUGAAAUGCGUAGAUAUCAGGAGGAACACCCGUGGUGUAGACGGCUUGCUGGACAGUCACUGACGCUGAGGCACGAAAGCGUGGGGAGCAAACAGGAUUAGAAACCCUGGUAGUCC